rnacentral:misc_RNA from 1 species
AACACUGUUAACCUGCGGUACCUGCGGAAGGAUCAUUACAGAGUGUUUAACCCCCUAUAAAAUGGUGGGUCUAACCUCCCGUCCUUUGCUGGGUCCCCCUUCUGGAAGACUUUCAAAACUUUCUGCUUCGGCGGGGUAUACCCGCCGGAACACCCUCAAAAAAUUCUUGAUCAAAAUGGUUCGGUCCGAGAAACUUUUUGUGAAAAUUAGCGAAAAACUUUCAACAACGGAUCUCAGAUC